rnacentral:misc_RNA from 1 species
AAGUCGUAACAAGGUUUCCGUAGGUGAACCUGCGGAAGGAUCAUUACACAGUAUUAUCAGGGGGCUGAGUAAGCAGUUCGCUGUUUACCCCGCCCUAUCUGGUUCUACCCAUGUUUUUUGCGUACCUCUCUGUUUCCUUGUCGGGCUCGCCCGUCAGUGGACCACAUCAACCCUUUGUAAUUGUAAUCAGCGUCAGAAAAACUUAAUAAUUACAACUUUCAACAACGGAUCUCUUGGUUCUG